AUGCACGCUGGCGGCGUGCCUAAUACCUGCACGUCGAGCGAACGGACGAGAAGCUUGCUUUUCUGAUGUUAGCGGCGGACGGGUGAGUAACACGUGGAUAACCUACCUAUAAGACUGGGAUAACUUCGGGAAACCGGAGCUAAUACCGGAUAAUAAUUUGAACCGCAUGGUUCAAAAGUGAAAGACGGUCUUGCUGUCACUUAUAGAUGGAUCCGCGCUGCAUUAGCUAGUUGGUAAGGUAACGGCUUACCAAGGCAACGAUGCAUAGCCGACCUGAGAGGGUGAUCGGCCACACUGGAACUGAGACACGGUCCAGACUCCUACGGGAGGCAGCAGUAGGGAAUCUUCCGCAAUGGGCGAAAGCCUGACGGAGCAACGCCGCGUGAGUGAUGAAGGUCUUCGGAUCGUAAAACUCUGUUAUUAGGGAAGAACAUAUGUGUAAGUAACUGUGCACAUCUUGACGGUACCUAAUCAGAAAGCCACGGCUAACUACGUG
rnacentral:rRNA from 1 species